rnacentral:rRNA from 1 species
AGUUGAGGAUAACCUGCCGAAAGGCAGGAUAAUACUCGAUGUGACCGCAAGGUUAAAGUCGCAAGACGCUAAGGAAGUGGCCUGGGCACCAUCAGCUUGUUGGUAAGGUAAUGGCUUACCAAGGCUUUGACGGUUAGGGGCCCCGAGAGGGGAAACCCCCACACUGGAACUGAGACACGGUCCAGACUCCUACGGGAGGCAGCAGUUUGGAAUUUUGGACAAUGGGCGAAAGCCUGAUCCAGCGACGCCGCGUGGACGAUGAAGGUCUUCGGAUUGUAAAGUCCUUUUGCUUGGGAAGAAUAUUUUGACGGUACCAAGCGAAUAAGAGGUUGCUAACUCUGUGCCAGCAGCAGCGGUAAUACAGAGACCUCAAGCGUUAUCCGGAAUCAUUGGGCGUAAAGCGUACCGAUAGGUGGUUAUGCAAGUCAGAUGUGAAAUCUCCGAGCUCAACUCGGAAUCUGUCAUUUGAAACUGCACAACUAGAGGGGCAAAGAGGAAGCUAGAACGAACGGUGUAGUAGUGAAAUGCGUUGAUAUCGUUCGGAAUACCGAUAGCGAAGGCAGGCUUCUGGGUGCCACCUGACACUGCUAGGACGAAAGCGUGGGGAGCGAAUGGGAUUAGAUACCCCAGUAGUCCACGCUGUAAACGAUGUACAUUAGGCGCUAGGGAGUAUCGACCCUCUUUAGUGCCAAAGCUAACGCGUUAAAUGUACCGCCUGGGGAGUACGGCCGCAAGGCUAAAACUCAAAGGAAUUGACGGGGACCCGCACAAGCGGUGGAGCAUGUGGUUUAAUUCGUCGCUAAGCGAAGAACCUUACCAGGGCUAGAAACCAAGCUGCAUCCCACCCGAAAGGGAGGGAGCCUUCGAGGGUGCUUGGCAGGUGAUGCAUGGUCGUCGUCAGUUCGUGGCUUGAGCUGUUCCCUUCAGUGGGGUAACGAACGCAACCCCCGUUGUCUGUUAAAUUUUCAGGCGAGACUGCCCCCUCACGGGGGAGGAAGGUGGGGAUGACGCCAGAUCAGCAUGUCCCUUGAUGCCCUGGGCUGCACACGUGAUACAAUGGCCGGUACAGAAGGACGCAAUACGGUAACGUGGAGCAAAUCCCAAAAACCGGCCCCAGUACGGAUCGAGGUCUGCAACCGACCUCGUGAAGCCGGAAUCGCUAGUAAUCGUGGGUCAGCAACACCACGGUGAAUACGUUCUCAAGUCUUGUACUCACCGCCCGUCAACUCAAGGAAGCUGGGGGUACCCGAAAUCUUGGCUUGUCCAGGACUACGGUAAAUUCAGUGACAGGGAGUAAGUCGUAACAAGGUAACC